AUAGUUUGCUCUACCUGCCUUCUUAAACAAGGCAGGACCACCAACCCAGGAGUGGCACUCCCUGCAGGGAAUUAAUUGGGCCUUUUUCACAUCAAUCAUUAAUCAAGAAAAUGCCCCCACAGACUUUCGGACAGGCAACCUGAUGGAGGCAUGUUUUCAGCUGAGACUCCUCUCCCCACAAAAUCUGUGCCCAUGAAGCAAUAACUGGCCAUGCCCACCCUCUCCAGCCCCAGAACCUCCUCUCCACUUUCUGUCUAUGAAUUUGGAGUCAAGCAGUUGGAACCGGACUCAUGUACACCAAGUCUCUCUGCCCGGCUCAUUUAAACUGGCACUGCAUUUUCAUUGCCCAUCCACGUCAUCGAACGCAAUGGAACGUCACUUUCUUCAGUCAAGUUUCGAUGCUGUGAGAGUGUUCCUUAUACUCAAGGCCCUGUUCCGUUUUCGGCCCCUUCUGGGAACUACACCAGCGCAUGAGAGCCGUUAAGCUUGGCGUCUUAGCUCAGCUCUCUAGAAUGUUCUCCCAAUUUACUUGCCUGGAAAGUUCCUGACCAUUUUCAAGCUUUCAGGGUAAGCUGUUGACUUCCUUUUCUAAGGCCUCCCUAGUACUCCCCGGACAGCCUCCACGACCCUUCCUCUCUGUUCCCUGGCACUUGUCACAGUACUUGUCACCCCAGGAAGGCAGUUGUUCAUUUUUGUUCGUUUGUUUGGAUUUGUUACUGUUGUUGUUUAAUUAUUUGUUUGUUUUUCUUACAUGCCCUGGGAGCUUGUGACAAACGUGAAGAAUUUGCCACCACAGCUGAGGUGCAAAUUCAGAACAUGUUUUCUGAAUCGUGUCAAUGCCCUUUACCCAUGAGGCUGAUAGAAACUAUCUGAAGACAAUGGCUACUAUAUGUGAGGCCCACUGCGCAAAGCAGAGAAGAGCUAAGGCUCUUGACUGCCUGAAGAAGAGGACUUAAUCGGGUAGAUCCAGAGCUGUGCCACCGUCCCCACCUGUUGCAGCAGACCGCGCCGCCGCCGCCGAGGACGAGCGCGCCGCCAGGCCACAGUCCCCAGCCCCACCGCGGCCAGUCCCAGCGCGGCGACACCGAGCCAGAUGUGCCGCGGCCGCGCGGGGACCUGGGACGCGGAGAAGCCGAGGAGGGUCAGCGCCCAGGAGCCUGAGGCACCCAUGGCCUGAGCGGGCAGAGUGGGUGCUGAUACACUCAGGAGCCGGAGGGACCAGGCGCGACUGUAGCCAGCGGCCUGACGGGACCUAAGCCCAAAGGCCAGCAGCUCCUGAUCCUUCCCCGCCAAUCCAAGGGGCGGGAGGCGGUGGCUCAGCUAUGGGGUUCUCACUCAGUAGUCCACACCUCCUUCCCUUACUCCCUCCCUCCUCUCUUUCUUCCCUCCUUCUUUCCUUCACUCACUCGCUGACCCUCCCCCACGAUCAAUCAGUGCAGGAGUGCAGCUUAUUUACAUGUUUGUAGGGUUGUUUGACCUAAAACACACAACAUUUGCAGAACAGGGUGUGAUUUUGAAACUAGAAACCAAGCUGCAGGCAGCUGCGCUUCUGGGGACUGUGCGGAGGAGCAGUUUGGCAGCGGUCAGGGUCAAGGAGCUUCCAGCCAGCUGUGAUCUGACGUGAAAAGAUCCGGAGGAGGCUCUGAGGAUCUACAGGACUGAGCCAGGAUCUCGCUUCUCCUUGCCUAGGGCUCAGAGCUACCCUCAAGUGCACAGACCUUGGACUGGUACUGAAACCACCAGGCUCUUUUCUCUGCAGGUCCCUGGCACUUUGAGGCGGACUCUGCUGCUUGUCACUUCCAACUGUCACCGUAUCUUAACCAACAAAGCCAAGGCCAGCCGAGUGCCUUAGGCGCCAAGGCGCCUAUUUGAUGUGUCAAGCUGUUAAAAUGUCAGCUCUUUAUUCCAGGCUGUUCUAACAGGGAGAAAGCUAUUUCUCUACUACAACAGGGCAGAGGGACCGAACUUUGUACUAAAAACAAAGGCUGACCACAAGUCAGCUGAGGCCAGUGAACUCAUGCUCUGUGCUCAACAUUUCACACAGUGGCCUCUGGGUCAGGGGCUCCAGCUGUCACACAUUGCCUGGCCCACCGUCACACCCUCCUUCUCUCAUGUUUCAUGCCAGUUUCAGCCAAGGGGCAGAGGGCAACGGGGGCGGGUGUAGGUGGCUGCAAGCGGCAAGGCUGGAAAGAAGGUUUUUCUAAAGAGAGGCUUGUGUCCCUCCCUCUGGCCAUCAGACUUUCCAAACAGUAGACCCCGAGAAACUGGAAAACCCUCUUCCCCACCCCGCCCCAAGCCUCAGGCUGAGAGAAGGAAAAGGCUGGGAGCCUAGUGUCAGCUGCAGGGGGAGCCUGUCUCCCAGAAAGAGUCCACGCUGGUCUGACAACAGGCCUAUUUUCCGGAAAGGCUGCAGCCGACACAUUGGAGGUUCUGCGAUGGCAGGAUCACACCUUGGAAGAAUCCUGCUAUGGGCAGCAUCUGAAGCAGACAAGGGACAGUCCCCAGAACUCGAUGUUCCGGUGAUGCUGGCAUGAAACAUGCGAGAAGGAGGAUGUCACAGAGGGCCAGGCAAUGUGUGACAGCUGGAGUCUCUGUACAGAUGACCCAGAGGCCACUGUGUGAAGAGUUGAGCACACAGACAGCUACGCAUGAGUUCACUGGCCUCAGCUGACUGGCCACCUUGCUUCCCUGGGUUUGGGCUAUGGUUGCCCUCUGGCUGGAAUGCCCCAGCACUAUUUGGGGAGGCAGAAGCACAUAGAGAGACUGAAGUCUAGCUGAGGAGGAAGAAAAUCUCCUGGGGGCUUGUUCACCUGGCCCCUUCCCACCCAUCUGCUUCCCAUGCUUAUGAGGUAAAGAAUGUCCCUUUCUGCUCAACGCUCCCAACAGAGCAGGGGAGUGAGCUCAGAGGCCUUUGAAACUGCGGCACAAAUGAAUCCUUCAGGUUGUUCUCUUGGGGCUUUUUCCAGAGACGGAAAAGUAAGCGAUGCAGUGGCGAUGGGUACCACAGGGCUCUUCACUCCCCACAGAAAGGCACCUUGACAGCGCCGGGAGCUGAGUGUGUUCACCACCUUCCUGUCUCAUUGCAAUGUAAAGGGGAGAUGGCUUACAUUUUAAUGGUUGACUUUAACCUGAGUAUGACUCCAUCAGCUGUAAUCCCAGCAUUUGGGGAGGCAGAGGCAAGUGGAUCUCUGUGAGUUCGAGGCCAGCCUGGUCUACAAAGCCAGUCCAGGAUAGCCAAGGCUAUACAGAAAAACCCUGUCUCAAAAAAAAAUUAUCAUUUCCAAAAUGUACUCAGGAUACAGCUUGCCUAUCACUUUCACCUCACAGCCUGCUGAAGGUGAGGGGUUGAACGCUGGGCCAGAACCCAGCAAAGGAAAAGGCAGCAGAAAGCAACAGUUGUUCCCUAUUGAUUAUGAGAUGUCUCUUGAAAUCAUCAGAUACAAUGACCAGUAGUUCUCAACCUUCCUAAUGCUGUGACCUUUUAAUACAGUUCCUCAUGUUGUGGUGACCUCCAACCAUAGAAUUAUUUCCAUUGCUACUUCAUAACUUUCCUACUGUUUUGAAUCAUAAUGUAACUAUCUGAUGUGCAGGGUAUCUGAUAUUGGACCCCUAUGAAGGGGCUGUGAUCCACAGGUUGAGAACCACUGCUUUUGACAGUCAUGUGCGUGCAGGUCAAGGCGGCCUGUACACAUGAGUGACAAGAGGUAACGUUUGGAACCCAGGGAAGAUGCAAAUGUCCCAGGUGAAGUAAGAAAAGAGUCACAAUUACUAGUGAUAAAGAAACCACACAACCACAGGGUGUUAACAUUUAUAUGUUACUUAGUGGGUACAUGUACUGUUACAGCAGACAGUUCAUCUUUCUUAUGAAAAACACAUAUGAACCGUUAAAAAAUGUUCAUGGCUUCUCCGGCCCAUUUCUUCUUCUGAAGAUUCCAUUCUUUGACAUUCCAUUCUCUUGCAGAAUUGGAGGAAUUGACAAUUACAGAUACAUGUUUUAUGUUGCAAUAGAAUCAGAAUGAAAUAUAAAGAUAUAAUCUAUGAACAAAAUAACCCCAUGAUCUAUGAAAUCAUUUCUAUAUUUAAGCAUAACCCUGGUUCUAUAACGGUAAGGCAAAGACAAUCAUAAAGCCAAACUCAGCAGGGAUCAACAGCCAGGUCAGGCCUUGAUGAGCACGUUUUAACACAGAAGAUAUUCAGGACAUGAUGACUUCUUUUCCCACUUCUCUCAAACAAUAUACCUACAAAAUGUAUAAACACUUUUUUUUUUUUAUGGCAGCUUUUAAGUUGUCUCUUUAAACUGUCUUUACUCAGCAGGGAUUAGAAAAUGUAAUAGUGGGAGUAACAUUCAAUUUUGUUUAUUUUUUUUAAACUUCAUUAUCUAAAAUUUAUACACCCUCACAUUCCCAAACCACCUCUGGUACUUGUCUUGAAUUAAUUCAGGGCGCAUGCAGCUCUGAAGGAAGAGCAGAGAUUCAUCUCCAGGAAGAAGAUGCCCGUGGCUGCCAGUUGUAUCUCCUAGGACCUGGAAGCUGAAUAAAUGAUAAGACUCUCUGUUA